rnacentral:lncRNA from 10 species
CAGUUUUCAAGGCGGGCUGUAACUGGUGGCAUUUGUCCCGGGACCAGGUAAGGGGCCUUGGGACAAUGGCGCUCGCCCUGUCUACCUCCAAUCCCCACAUCUCGGGUGGGUGCUGAGAUUGCUGUCCUGACUGCCCAGGCGGGGCUGCAGCGCGGGCUGGACUUCCACCUGCAGAAGCCACGUGGCGCGAAGUGCGCCCUGGGGCUGCAGAUGGGCCCCUCUGCUCUGACCCCCAUUGCCUAGGAGUGCCAGGCCGAGCGGCUGGGGCGUUACGAGCUGUCCGGGAUGGGGGAGUACCGAUGGGGGGAGGCCGUCUGUCGGAGGGCAAGAAGCAGCCUGGGGGCUGGCCCUGAGCCCUGAGGCUGGAGUGCAACGGUGCGAUCUCGGCUCAUCACAACCUCCACCUCUCGGGUUCAAACGAUUCUCCUGCCUUAGCCUCCCAAGUAGCUGGGAUUACAGGCAGGUUCUAAGUUUGACUUAAAAGAGGUGACAUCCUUGAUGCCAAGAGACCCAAGAAGAAGUUGGAAUGCAUUUCAGGUCCACAGUUUUAUGUGUGAGCAAGAUGGAGGCUGACCUGUCUGGC